rnacentral:RNase_P_RNA from 1 species
CCAGGAGGCCGGGCAGCCGCGCUACCCGCAAGGUAUCGAGGAAAGUCCGGGCUCCACGAAGCAAGGGUGGCGGGUAACGCCCGCCGGGGGUGACCCCAGGGAAAGUGCCACAGAGAGCAGACCGCCGAUGCUCCCUCGCGGAGCAGGCAAAGGUGAAAGGGUGCGGCAAGAGCGCACCGCGCGACCGGUAACGGAAGCGGCACGGCAAACCCCACCCGGAGCAAGACCGAAUAGGGGCGGCGCGUCCCGGGCAACCGGGGCAGGCGAGUUUCGCGCCGGACCGCCCGGGUUGGUUGCUGGAGCCCUGCGGCAACGCAGGGCCGAGAGGAAUGGCUGCCCUUGCGGAUACGGUCUCUCCUGAAGGGAUACCGUCCGCGAGACAGAACCCGGCUUACAGGCCUCCUGGCGUU